GUAAGGAAAGAAUUGCUCCUGAGAAUAUUCCACCUAUUUCAGUCAGGUACAUCCUUCCUAGGACCGUGUAAUGGGCUGAUCUUUGCUCCUAUAGAACAUGUUCUUACUGCUUUGACAUCUUUUUUUUUGUCAUCAAAGUAGAUGCUUUCUGACAUGUAUCUCUUAUGUAGUAAAGCAUCAGUGUUGAUUGGAGCUUAGAAAUAGUGCUCUGAUUUACAAAGAGCAAUAUCCAUGAGUAUUAAUUAAUUGGAUGUUCACUGCCAGCAAAGGGACACUGAUUCCCAUGGACUGCUCUUGCAGAUUUGGAGUCUCCAGUAUCUGCUGAGGCCACGUCGCAACCACCUACAUGACAGGAGACCACCAGGGCCUUGCCUUGCUUCCCUUUCUCCAGGGGAUGGGAACACCUUUCCAGAUUAUUCCAAUGGGCCAGUGGCUUUAAAGGCUUCUAUAGGCACUGCUAGCCCCUGUAGCCCUAAGAAACCCAGAUAAAAGUAACAUUGCCAUCCAGAAUAACUUAUUUUCCAGCUGGUUUUCCCCUCCCAGCUGCUUGCCCAGAUGGCAGGCUAAAUUCAGCACCUUCUUGCUGCUACAAAAGCAAAGGGCAUUGCUGAACCACCCCAUUUUUAUGCUGUGAUCAGUGCAUCUAGGAUGGAGGACAUGCCACGUGGACACAUUUUAAAUUGCAAUUGUGAAAUGCAGUAGUACAUAUAUAUUUAUUUGUCUGUUUAUUUUUUUUAAGUGAAAGAGCAAUGACCCCAUUUAGCUCAAGAAUGAUGCAUUCUUGGAAAGUGAAAUAUAUUUGGUAAUAAUGACGGUAGGGGAAAAUAUCUCUUUCAUAAGAAAACCUGAUAUGUAAACACACAGUGCAGCUUAGGGCACAUCUUCGUUUCACACAUGAGAAGUUCACGCAAGUGAAGAAAAUUUUGAGUUUUUUUUUCCUACCCCCAAAGAAACAUAAUCCAGAGUUUAUAUCAGAUGGUUUAUGGGAGUUUAUUGGAAUAUCCAACAGGGUUCAUGUAGUGUGUCAUAAGGUAAAGCCUGUUCGUUGGUGAUUUACAAGCAGUGUGUGCCGGUGUUACUGUAAUUUAUAGACCACAGAUGGUCAGGGGGUGCCCCUGCUGACUUGGAGCUGAAUAAGAAGCUGAGCCCUGUGUGUCAUCUGCUGCGGGUACCUCCGGCUCACUUCCCCAAAUUAGCCCUGGUGGGGAUCUGCAUCCCGACUUGGAGGGUCCCAAGCCCUCUGCAAUGCAAGCUGAGGUUGCUCUGGGAAGAGAGGGACAGCAAAUGUUUAAAGGAGAGGGGAGCAGAGCAAAAAACUGAGAACAUUGGAACAGCACUGGAGGAAAAGUGCUUUUUACGAUAACAGCCUCCCUUCUCAAGGUUGGUACUUCUUGAUGGGCUUUUGUCACUCGUUAAAUGGAGAAGGGGGGGAAACGUCAACCCCCCCUCCCUUCCUAAUUUGUUCUAACACAAACAUCUCCUCCACCAAAAUUUAUAUAUAUUCAUAAAUCUCCCUUGUAACAACCUCUAAGAUAGAUCCUAUCUUUGUUCCCGUCACUUUACCCUUUUAGGUAAUUGCUUGUUAAUGGCAUCCUGCAUUUUCAUAAGACUUACUCACACCAAGUUUACCCAAGUCUUUGCUUCUUUAAACCUCAUUAAAUAAUUGCCUCGUUACCACGGCACCUCGUACUGCUCAGAUGGGGACCCACUGCUCGCAGAGGAUCAUGUUUUGUCAAAGCAGCUCUGAGCUGGGAGGAGAGUUUGGGGUUCUUUCUGUGCUUGACACCUGUUGCCAAAUGCAGUGAGAAAUGCCUCCAUGUAAACACACAUCCGAGCUCACAACCAAGUGGGUGAAUUCUUUCUUCUCUCCCAGAGAUCAAAGGUGUAGGAGAAUUUUGUGGCUUCUCUAGUUAAUAAACAGGAAAAAAAAAAGAACGUUUUCUUUUCUUUAUCCAGAGGAUUAAAAAAAACACCCUAUAGACAAAAGGACCAGAAGGAGAGCUGUAAUGGAAAUAAAAUUGACAGCCUCUCAAAACUCAGGUGGCAUUUUCCUUUUCCAGUUAAUUACAGUUUUAAUUACACGGCUUCUUGUGACUCCUUGAUACCUAAUAAACUAGACUCUGUGGGGCGGCAAAGUUGAGUUUUGCUUGAACUGCAGGUGUAAGGCUCAGCAUGAAGCAUAAAUCAACUUCUUAAACAUGUUCCCAGGGUGUGUUCAGGCUUUUUCUUCCUAUUUGCUUGUAAAAAAUCACAUCUUUUCACCAUCGCUGGUUAAAAAAAAAUAUGAUUGGAGCCACAGUACCUCAAGUAUUAGCUUUGUGUCUUGGGUUGAAGAAAUCCCCUUCCAGUAGGGGAAAAAAAAAAGGAUUGAGUUUUUUGGACUUCAGCCUGAUGGCUUUUAAAGGAGUGGUACAUUACCUGCCUUGCUUCUCUCAUUAUCCUUUCUUUCAUAUUUAAGAUAGAAAGGGGAAAUAUGCAAAGAAUAUGAAAGCAAGGGGAGAUUGGGCUGUGGAAAAUAAGGGCUGUUCAUCCCACAGACACCACAGUUUGGAUUUGCCCUUUGUGUGCUGCCCUGUGGGUUGCUGCAGCCAAAAGGUGAGGAUAGUCAUGGUCCUCACACUCCACGAGACUCAGCUGUGGUGAUGCUGAAAGCAGAGGUACUGGAGACAUGGCGCUGUAAUGUCACCUGCCCCGUGCUGGUGUCACUGCCCCAUGGAUUUCUCUGCCAGCCCCAGUCUUUGGGAUCCUGGAGCCACCGAGCACUGAGGCUUUGCAGCCCAAAACAUGAAGCCAUAGCAGGCACGUCCCGGCCAGGCAGCCCAGCAGCCUAAAUACUAGCCUCAGCUCUCAGAACUAAAUGGAGAUGCCAAAAAGGCCAAAACCCUGCCACCAAUCCAGAGGGGAAAAAGAAGAAAUCUUCCGCCCUGCCAACCAAAUGUCUCACCAUCUUUUUCAAUUAGUCUUGGUUGUAUUUUUGUAAGCACACAGACAGGCAAUUACAGAGUUUCAUUUUUUCCAGAGUGGGAAAGGCAGGGCAGAGCUAAGGGAGUAAGGGAAAGGAGGAGGAGCAGGAGUUUAAAAGACACGAAAGCCCCAGACAUGAGUGUCUUUCAUUCUAGCAGUCCAAGAGGCAUGGAGAGCAAGAACAAAGAAAAGAAAAAAUUAAAUAUCUAAAAUAUUUUGGUUCACAACAAUGAAAUGAAGCAAAACUUCCCAGCUGAAUUGGAGUACGCGUUCUGUGUGCUCUGUAGUGUUUUCUGUGAAAGCUUACUGGCCAGCAGACUAAAACCAGUGUGGGUACCAGGGUGAGGGCUCUGGUUUCUCCAUGAGUUGAGCUGCCUACCCCUAGCACCAAAAUCUUGUGCUGCUCAGGCACUGGCAACGUGGCCUGAAGAUUUGCAAUGCAGCUACAGCAUGGAAAGUGCUGGAAAGCUGCAUUUAGUAAUGGUAGAACAGAGUGCACGAGGGAGCAUUCACCACAGAGUGAUCCUGUUGGGAAGGCUGCCUGGAAGAGGUUUGCCUUCCAAACUGAUCACCAGUGCUGAGAACCCCGUGUACAUCUGCACAGGUACGUGCAGCGCACAGCGUGGAGAAGCAACAGUAGUGUGCAACAGAGGCUCAGGAGAUCCAAAAGGCAUCAAAUAAAAUGGCUGAGGGAAAAAUAUAUGCUGUCCCAGAGUUUGGGGAAGACUCAGUGGUUCGUGAACCACCUCAGGGACAUGUGACAGCAAUGGCAAAGGCUCUGAAAGAUGGACAUGUGCCCAGCCAAGGAGCACAAUGGGAAGAUCUGUUGCCUUUGGGGCUCUAUUACUUCCUGGUUCAGCUAGCCCAUCUAAUCAGCUUGGCUUGUUUUUAAGCUGGACUCUCUCAAACUCAGCCCAAGCUCACCUGAGCAAUCCUAGUUUUCUAACUUUUAGGGGGAAUGUGAGUUUUGAUUUACUGGAUCGCUAUGGCAAGCGCAAUGUAAUAAAAACCUGACCUGUCUGAUAUGUAUGGGCUACUGUAUUAUAAAUAUUUAAUAAGUUGUAUGGAAAGAAAAGAACUAUAGGGGUUACAGGAAUCAUAUUAAAGCAACUAAGUAAAUACAAAGAAGGUUAAAGUGUCUAACUCUAUAUGCUUUAAAGGCUAAAGCAAACCAGAUCUCUUUCUAGAUUCUUUUUCCAUGUACAGCGGUAACUGGGCAGCAUAAAAAUAAGGCAAGUAUUUAAAGAUAGAAAAAAAAAAAAAAAAAAAAAGAGAAAGAUCUAAGGCAUUUGUUUGGCAUUGAUAGCAAUUUCAAAAAAGCCCUGGAACAUUUAAAGAGAAUUAGAAAGGAUUUGGCUGGAAUCAGAGGGGGAAGCACUUUCCAUGGCUGGGUGCGUGUUUGGGUAUCUACAAACUGCCUACAUCUGAACGAGCAGAACGGCCUUGAUCAUCCAGGGUUUUAAAACCAGAAGAAAAAGGCUUUCCUGUUUUUGCUCUUUUUUUCUUAUUCACACAUAUCCAGAUUUUCAUUCUUCUGCCUGCUCGAUGGUGAAGUAACAUUUAUUUUGGCACGGAGCUUGUGGAGUACUUGGAAGGGCCCACUGGGGCAAGCAGAUACGGUGCACCCGCUGGGGCGAGCAAACCUGCUCUACCUUGGGAAUCACUCCAGGGGGAUUUUUGUUUGGUUGCUUUCUUUUCCAUGCUAUGUUGUUUCCAUGUUGUUUGCAGAAAGGCAAAAACAAGCAGGCAUUGCAUGUGUUCCUUUCUUCCUGCUGUCUCUUUGGGGAAGAAGCCGACAGGAGCUUUUCCUUGCCAUUUGAUGGGAGCAUGAAGAAAUCUUGAGCUGGUUUUAGGUCAGGGAGUGUAUUUCCUUACAGGUUCCUCUAGUGAUGGUUAUGGUUGUGGGACCCCCGAGCCUAUCUCUGAAUCAUAACACGAAUUCCUGCUGUGACCCAUGGAAAAGGCAAUGAUCCUGCAGGGGCUCUUUUACUGAGAGGAGCUUUCUGCACACCCCUAUGCUGGCCAACUGCAACCAGUGCAAAGAGGGCUGGAUUCGCCUAUCCAAACGCACACCUUUUUCACUGAUGACCUUUUUUUUUUCCUUCUUGCAGUAUUUUCUCUGCUGCAGCUAUCAUCCUAAAUAACAUCAGCCCACCAGUGACAGAGGCUUUACAGUGCAAUGGAGAACUAUUUUGAAGGCUCCUGCCAGCCCCUUCAGAAGGAAAGGGGUGGGGAGAAAUGCCCAAGGAGAGCUCCUGGUGCUGCCCCUGCUGCACAGAGGAUGUGACACAACCACGAAGACACUGAGAUGAUGGUCCGGAGCAGCUGCAUUUUGCUCUGCACAAGAAAAUCCACCUUCAUACCAUCUCUGAUAUCUGGGUACGUGCAGGCAGGGCAGCCACCUCCCCCGGUACUCAACUCCAGGUCUGAGCUCCUCUCCCCAUAAGAGGGCGAGGGAGGGGAUCCGUGCAAGGCACCGUGCUUGGAGCCCUCUCAGUUCAAAGGUGCCCAAGGAGAUGGAGCUGGCCUAGGGAUGGCUGGAGGCCACACAGACAGGAAGUCACCACAGGUGAAAUCCCUCCCAGCAGCUGGCUUAUGAAAUAAUGCGAGGGGAGGCCGUAAUGAGCUGAAAGCACCCUCAGCUGGAGAUAAAUAUAUGCAAAUGAGAUGCACAAACAAAGGAGCCUGGACAGAGAAAUAUCUGCAAUUCCAGCAAAAUGCUGCCUGCAGCUAGAAGAUGAACAGCUUUGAUAAAAUGCUCCCCACAUGUGUCCGUACGGAUGACUACAGAAAGCAAGCCCCGUCCCUUGCCAUUAGCUGAAACACGGAGAGAAAGGCAGAGCAAGGCAGCACAGCGAUGCCGCGCAGCCCCUACCCUCACGGCAACAUUACAUAGGUUGUUACACAUUUAUAAAGGGAGCACAAACACCGUAAAGUUUGGGCAGCCCUUUCCUUGGGGCACAAAGCGCAAUUUUUAGAAGAAAAAUAGACUUACCUUUUAGGGGAAAAAAUAUAUAUAUACACGUAAAAAAUCCACCUCUUACUACGCUGUACGGCUUUGGUACUUAGAGAUGUUAGAGCAGACAAGUGUCGGAUUUCCCGAUGUCAAGCAGAUCUCCUAAUUUUUCAUAUCCUCCUCCUGUGGCGAUUUUGGGGCCAGAUUGGAGAGGAAGAGGUUCGGAGUGCUGCCCUGACCCCUGGGAGCCGGCUGCCGCACCCGGGCACCCCGGCGCGGGGCUUCAGGAGUUAAUGGAAGUUGGUGGGGCCAGGAGCCGCGCUUUUUGCAGCCCAGGUUUGCAGCGGCAUAAUUAUGUUCAACCGCUGUUGUUUGAAAAGGGCAAGCGGCAUCUUAGGCACAGAACAAUGAAAUUACAGCUGAGAUUUAGGUUAGCAAAAGCCGUCUUCUGCAAGGCUUUUAUGAUUCAUUAUUUCCCAUUAAAUACAGUAUUAGAAGUGUACACCAGAUAGCUCAUGGUUGCUGCGCUCAGAGCACAUUAUCUAUAUUACACAGGUCUGGGGAGCAGAAUUAGAAAACUUUGGGGGAAUGAGCAAUAUGUGUUUGCUGAUAGAAGUACCAUAUGGCUCAUCUUCCUCAAUUGCUUUCAUUGCGACUCCGAUGCUGGAGAAAUUAAAGUUUUAUUUGAUGUGGCACAGCUUAAUGAACUGUCUUCUGUUAGGAAAAUUGAAUAUGUUUCCUGUUAUUUGAGCACAGAGCCCUCAUGGUUUUGGCUGAUGAGGGAUGCAUUAUGUAUUGUUUAUUUAGCAUUUUGAAAAAAAAAAAAAAGCAGAUAUUGGAGGUAAAAUUGAUUACCGCAGGAUGCGUUAUAUCAUCCCAUUUUUCUUUCUCUCUUUCUUUAAUUUAUAGCCCUGCCUAUUAUUUUUACGACAGCCUUUUUCGGUUCCCCCACCACCACUACCACCCCACCCCACCCUCCAAAAAAAGGGGUUUGGAGGCAGAGUGCAUCUCUCGGCUUUGUUUAAAAGCGGCAUUGCAAUUUUUAGGUCUGCGGUCCCUACGUGCUCCCUGUGCAUUGACCCAGCCGGGCUUUGUUAAAGACAGCCGCGGUGCUGCUCUUCUGCCUUCGCAGGGACAUAGAGAGGGGAGCAGCCCCCAAUCCCCCACUUCCAGAGAUGGCAGGAAGGGUUAAUAACUGCAGGACGGAGGUGGCCG
ensembl:lncRNA